AUACGGAGGGUGCAAGCGUUAUCCGGAAUCAUUGGGUUUAAGGGGUCCGUAGGCGGACUAAUAAGUCAGGGGUGAAAUCCCACAGCUUAACUGUGGAACUGCCUUUGAUACUGUUAGUCUUGAGUUAUAUGGAAGUAGAUAGAAUGUGUAGUGUAGCGGUGAAAUGCUUAGAGAUUACACAGAAUACCGAUUGCGAAGGCAGUCUACUACAUAUAUACUGACGCUAAUGGACGAAAGCGUGGGGAGCGAACAGGAUUAGAAACCCUAGUAGUCC
rnacentral:rRNA from 1 species